rnacentral:tmRNA from 1 species
GGGGGCGUACAGGUUUCGACGGGGGUAUGGAGCAUUGAACAGCGAGCUGUGGUUUGUUUGGUGCCACAUUAAAAAACCGGACAAAAAUGUAAACGCAGAUAAUAAUUACGCUUUAGCCGCCUAGUUGUGGCUCAUCCUGCUGAAGCCUACCCGCCGCUUCAGUUAUAGGGUGUCGAUAUGCGGGGAUCCGACUUGAGGGUUGUCCCGACCUCUUGCUGAACUAAUUGGGACUGGCCGAUGAAACAGCUUGUCAUUGAGCGGUUUUGGACGCGAGAAAUAAAUCAAUGACUGCGCUCGGAGAAUUUCAAUGUUAAGUGCUUUCGGACGCGGGUUCGAUUCCCGCCGCCUCCACCA